GAUGAACGCUGGCGGCGUGCCUAAUACAUGCAAGUCGAGCGAACGGACGAGAAGCUUGCUUUUCUGAUGUUAGCGGCGGACGGGUGAGUAACACGUGGAUAACCUACCUAUAAGACUGGGAUAACUUCGGGAAACCGGAGCUAAUACCGGAUAAUAUUUUGAACCGCAUGGUUCAAAAGUGAAAGACGGUCUUGCUGUCACUUAUAGAUGGAUCCGCGCUGCAUUAGCUAGUUGGUAAGGUAACGGCUUACCAAGGCAACGAUGCAUAGCCGACCUGAGAGGGUGAUCGGCCACACUGGAACUGAGACACGGUCCAGACUCCUACGGGAGGCAGCAUUAGGGAAUCUUCCGCAAUGGGCGAAAGCCUGACGGAGCAACGCCGCGUGAGUGAUGAAGGUCUUCGGAUCGUAAAACUCUGUUAUUAGGGAAGAACAUAUGUGUAAGUAACUGUGCACAUCUUGACGGUACCUAAUCAGAAAGCCACGGCUAACUACGUG
rnacentral:rRNA from 1 species